rnacentral:rRNA from 1 species
GGGAUUGCCCUAGUAACGGCGAGUGAAGCGGCAACAGCUCAAAUUUGAAAUCUGGCCCUAGGCCCGAGUUGUAAUUUGCAGAGGAUGCUUUUGGUGAGGUGCUUACCGAGUCCCCUGGAAUGGGGCGCCACAGAGGGUGAGAGCCCCGUAUGGUUUGCCACCGAGCCUUUGUAAAGCUCCUUCGACGAGUCGAGUAGUUUGGGAAUGCUGCUCUAAAUGGGAGGUAAAUUUCUUCUAAAGCUAAAUACCGGCCAGAGACCGAUAGCGCACAAGUAGAGUGAUCGAAAGAUGAAAAGCACUUUGAAAAGAGGGUUAAAUAGCACGUGAAAUUGUUGAAAGGGAAGCGCUUGUGACCAGACUUGUGCCGGGCGGAUCAUCCAGCGUUCUCGCUGGUGCACUCUGCCCGGCUCAGGCCAGCAUCGGUUUUCGCCGGGGGACAAAAGCUUCGGGAACGUAGCUCCCUUCGGGGAGUGUUAUAGCCCGUUGCAUAAUACCCCGGCGGGGACCGAGGACCGCGCUUCGGCAAGGAUGCUGGCGUAAUGGUCAUCAGCGACCCGUCUUGAAACACGGACCGAGGAGUCAAGCAUUAGUGCGAGUGUUUGGGUGUAAAACCCGCACGCGUAAUGAAAGUGAACGUAGGUGAGAGCUUCGGCGCAUCAUCGACCGAUCCUGAUGUUUUCGGAUGGAUUUGAGUAGGAGCAUUAACGCUUGGACCCGAAAGAUGGUGAACUAUACUUGAAUAGGGUGAAGCCAGAGGAAACUCUGGUGGAGGCUCGCAGCGGUUCUGACGUGCAAAUCGAUCGUCAAAUUUG